rnacentral:rRNA from 1 species
AUACGGAGGGUGCAAGCGUUAUUCGGAAUCACUGGGCGUAAAGGACGCGUAGGCGGGUUGGCAAGUCAGAUGUGAAAUCCUACAGCUUAACUGUAGAACUGCAUUUGAAACUGCUAACCUAGAGUAUGGGAGGGGGAGAUGGAAUUAGUGGUGUAGGGGUAAAAUCCGUAGAUAUCACUAGGAAUACCGAAAGCGAAGACGAUCUCCUGGAACAUAACUGACGCUAAGGCGUGAAAGCGUGGGGAGCAAACAGGAUUAGAUACCCUAGUAGUCC